ensembl:snoRNA
CCUCCCCCUAGAGGCAUUGCAGGUGCAGCUGCUGUGUCCUAUGUGCUUCAGUAGGUGGCAGAGAAGAGAGAAGCUACGUCUAAGCUCAAUGUUCUGACCUGUGAGCACCUGUGAAUAAUUAGCAGCCUAACAUU